GACGAACGCUGGCGGCGUGCUUAACACAUGCAAGUCGAACGGAAAGGCCCUGCUUUUGUGGGGUGCUCGAGUGGCGAACGGGUGAGUAACACGUGAGUAACCUGCCCUUGACUUUGGGAUAACUUCAGGAAGCUGGGGCUAAUACCGGAUAGGAGCUCCUGCUGCAUGGUGGGGGUUGGGAAGUUUCGGCGGUUGGGGAUGGACUCGCGGCUUAUCAGCUUGUUGGUGGGGUAGUGGCUUACCAAGGCUUUGACGGGUAGCCGGCCUGAGAGGGUGACCGGCCACAUUGGGACUGAGAUACGGCCCAGACUCCUACGGGAGGCAGCAGGGGGGAAUAUUGCACAAUGGGCGGAAGCCUGAUGCAGCAACGCCGCGUGCGGGAUGACGGCCUUCGGGUUGUAAACCGCUUUCGCCUGUGACGAAGCGUGAGUGACGGUAAUGGGUAAAGAAGCACCGGCUAACUACGUG
rnacentral:rRNA from 1 species